rnacentral:rRNA from 1 species
CCUACGGGAGGCAGCAGUGAGGAAUAUUGGUCAAUGGUCGGGAGACUGAACCAGCCAAGUCGCGUGAGGGAGGAAGGUACUGCGUAUCGUAAACCUCUUUUGCCAGGGAACAAAGACUUGCACGUGUCCCCGGCUGCAGGUACCUGGCGAAAAAGCACCGGCUAACUCCGUGCCAGCAGCCGCGGUAAUACGGAGGGUGCGAGCGUUAUCCGGAUUUAUUGGGUUUAAAGGGGGCGUAGGCGGGCUGUCAAGUCAGCGGUAAAAGCCCGGGGCUCAACCCCGGCCCGACGUUGAAACUGGCAGUCUUGAGUUGGAGAGAAGUAUGCGGAAUGCGCGGUGUAGCGGUGAAAUGCAUAGAUAUCGCGAAGAACUCCGAUUGCGAAGGCAGCAUGCCGGCUCCACACUGACGCUGAGGCACGAAAGCGUGGGUAUCGAACAGGAUUAGAUACCCGAGUAGUC